GAUGAACGCUGGCGGCGUGCUUAACACAUGCAAGUCGAACGGAAAGGCUCCUGCUGGCAGGGGUACUCGAUUGGCGAACGGGUGAGUAACACGUGGGUGAUCGGCCCUGCACUUCGGGAUAGGCCUGGGAAACUGGGUCUAAUACCGGAUAGGAUCACAUCUUGGAGGGUGUGGUGGAAAGCUUUGCGGCGUGGGAGGAGGUCGCGGCCUAUAAGCGAGUUGGUGGGGUCAUGGCCUACCAAGGCGUCGAGGGGUAGCCGGCAGGCGGGGUGGUACGGACAGACUAGACCUGUGCGAGAGGCAAGAGUCGGGAAGGAGGGAGAAGUGGGGAAUAUCGGACAAAGGCAGACAGCGUGAUGCAGGAAGGCCGCGUGGGGGAUGAGGGCCUUCGGGUUGUAAGAAAAUCUCGCUAGGGACGAAGCGUUUUUGUGACGGUACCUGAAGAAGAAGCACCGGCUAACUACGUG
rnacentral:rRNA from 1 species